rnacentral:lncRNA from 1 species
GACCUAAGUUUCACAAACAACACUAUAUAACAUUCUUUUAGACAAAAGCAUCAAUGCAUGCAGAUCUUACUGAAAUCAAACAUAUGACGGCAUCAUUUCAUACAUGUUACUAUAAAUAGCCAAGAUCAAUAUUAAUCUUCAAAAGGUGAUAUAUUGCAAAUUUUACACCAACAAUGGCCACUCUGAAUGCACAUUCCACCAAGAUUCGUUAUUGAAUCCUGUAGUUACUAGCAAAGUUGACCUCGGUAAUGUUCCUUGGAGGGCUUGUUAUAGAAUCCUAUAGUUACAAGAAAAAUUGACUCGGUAAUGUUGCUGGGAGGGCUUGUGCAUGUGGCUGCAAGCUUGUAGGUUGAUUACCGUGCAUCUUGACUUGAAGGCCGCCAGCACAGAAUCUCAUUGGUAGGUUAUGGGUAAAAUUAGUUGCCCCAAAAAUUGGAAAAUUGGAGGGCGGUGACGGAAGUGUACGACUGUACGCGCUGCUGAGGAGCUGGGGGCAGGAGCCAGGCAGUAGAUGAAGUCAAGAUGCCAGCCACUCCUACGAGGCUACGACCAUGCAUAGAGGUGCGGGAGGCCACAGCCAGCACCACCCUCACCAUAGCUCAGGCCGAUAACCACUUCGUAGGUUGGCAAUGAGCCGCUUGACGAACUGGUACGUGAACUGCGCACCGCACGCUGCCAUUGACAGCGGGUAAGGCACCAUCGGAUCAGAUUUUGAGCACACCUGCUGCAACGUCUUCUCCAGGGCUCAUGGAUCCGCUCCUCCCUGAAACUCUAGGGUUUCUGAAGGAGAAGAGAGCAGAGGUGGAUCGUAGGAGAGAAAGAGGCUGCUGUAUGUGUCUCUCGCGACAGGUUUUCCCUCGGUCGAGCGACGGUUGGCGAUUGCUAAAACCUUCAUUAGGUGCGAAGUCAUCGGCUGUUUCAGAGGGUCGAUCUGAAAUUGACAAACCCAUAAGCACUAGCCCCGGCCACCAUGUUGAAUAAUCACGUACCUGUUCAACAAAAGGGGAAUGAAAACAACCAAAGGUAAAAUAGAUAAUGGUCAAUGAGGCUAUUGCAAAUAAUGGUGUUCAACAUAUGAUUUUAGCAACAUACCAGCUAUUUUCAUCUAAUAUUUGAAGUAAAGGGUUCUAAUAGUGCCUUGCAGCAAAACCAAUUUGAGUUUAUAUUUUAACUAUUUAUAAUAAGAGUACAACACAUGCAGGGGUAUCAUCUUGGGCAAAGAAGACAAAUGACCUGACAAGAGCAGGGUACAAACUUCACUACAACACUUCUAUCCUAUUCUUAUAACAAUGUUCCACACACCCUUGAAUACAUUAACCUGAUUAUCCAAAUCAUAUUUUUAGCAAAUUAGAGUAGAAGGCAACAGCAGGUAUGUUAUGACACAAUUUGCCUCUAGCACAUCUACAGUCUAACUAAUAAAUGAAAAUACAUUACAUUAUAAUGCAAAUAAUGUAUGAAAAAAUAAAUGCAGGCAAGCUAGGACGAAGCGAAGUUGAUCUACAAACAAAACAAAAAAAUAGAAGCGUCCAAAGUUAUUAACCAUGAUAGGUAACCAGUCGGAUAUUCAUGUCCAAUAAGACAAUCUACACCAUCGAAUGGAAGGUACUGGCUUGCAUUCUAGUAUAUUAUUCGGUAUUCAUUAACAGGAAAAUAGCUCAUUACAUGUACCUAUAAAAAUAAUUGAUCAUGAAAUAAAUAUAUUACAGGCCAUUCACAUGCGUAUAUACAUCCACUGAUGUUGUAGCUUGCCAAACAAGGAAAAAGGUAAUCACAUAAUUAUGAUAUCUUCAAAUUACUUUUAGU